GCAGUCGAACGAGUAAAGCUCCCUUCGGGGAGUGAGUAAAGUGGCGAACGGGAGAGUAACGCGUGGGAAACCUGCCCUUCAGCGGGGGACAACACCUCUAACGAGGUGCUAAUACCGCAUACGACCUGGAGACCGCAUGAUCACCAGGUGAAAGAUGGCCUCUGCUUGCAAGCUGUCACUGAAGGAUGGUCCCGCGUCCCAUUAGUUUGUUGGUGGGGUAAUGGCCUACCAAGACUACGAUGGGUAGCCGGCCUGAGAGGGUGUCCGGCCUCACUGGGACUGAGAUACGGCCCAGACUCCUACGGGAGGCAGCAGUCGAGAAGCUUCGGCAAUGGACGAAAGUCUGACCGAGCGACGCCGCGUGAGCGAUGAAGGCCCUAGUGGUCGUAAAGCUCUGUCAGGAGGGAAUAAAUGCCUGUGGUUAAUACCCGCAGGAGUUGAAGGUACCUCCAGAGGAAGCGCCGGCUAACUACGUGCCAGCAGCCGCGGUAAUACGUAGGGCGCAAACGUUGUUCGGAUUUACUGGGUUUAAAGGGUUCGUAGGCGGACUGAUAAGUCAGAGGUGAAAGCCAACGGCUCAACCGUUGAAUGGCCUCUGAUACUGUCAGUCUUGAGUCCGCUAGGGGAUGGUGGAAUUCCUGGUGUAGCGGUGAAAUGCGUAAAUAUCAGGAGGAACACCAGUGGCGAAAGGCGGCCAUCUGGGGCGGAACUGACGCUGAUGAACGAAA
rnacentral:rRNA from 1 species